CCUACGGGAGGCAGCAGUGGGGAAUAUUGCACAAUGGGGGAAACCCUGAUGCAGCGACGCCGCGUGGGUGAAGAAGCGCCUCGGCGCGUAAAGCCCUGUCAGCAGGGAAGAAAAUGACGGUACCUGAAGAAGAAGCCCCGGCUAACUACGUGCCAGCAGCCGCGGUAAUACGUAGGGGGCAAGCAUUAUCCGGAUUUACUGGGGGUAAAGGGGGCGCAGACGGCGAUGCAAGCCAGGAGUGAAAGCCCGGGGCCCAACCCCGGGACUGCUCUUGGAACUGCGUGGCUAGAGUGCAGGAGGGGGAGGCGGAAGGCCUGGGGUAGCGGUGAAAUGCGUAGAGAGCAGGAGGAACACCGGUGGCGAGGGCGGCCUGCUGGACUGCAACGGACGUUGAGGCCCGAAGGCGUGGGGAGCAAACAGGAUUAGAGACCCCUGUAGUC
rnacentral:rRNA from 1 species